ACAUGUUCUGUGUCCGCGUUUUGAGUAACAUGUAAAUAUACUGGACCUGGGUGCAAGCAUGAGAGGUAAUCACCCGUGUACGCCCCUGGUAGACUCGAUUCUGAUUGGAUCACCCUGCUGCGAGUUCCGCGGAAAGAAAGUGUCGCGUUGCAUAAAACAUCAAAACGACCCUGAGUUCCCAUUUGUUUACCUUUCCCAAAUCCCCACCCACUGAGCUAACUCCGUGUUACAAUUGGCGCCCGCAAAAAAAUCUACUUACAAUAAAUUUUCCCAGAACCCCGGAGGGAGGAAUGAUAACAGUUCCUGUUAAGCUUUAGGAUCGUUCUCCAAACGAUAGUGAACCCGAUAAUAGUUUUGAGCUGAUGAAUAUGUUGUUACGGAACCGGAUUAACGAUCAUAUGAAAAUGUUACAGCACCGAAUUGUUUGCAUUGGCCAAACCAGAAAAGUUUUUCCAUGGCCUGUUAGGAAAAAAUCAUCGACCAGUGCAAUAAUGUAUUGUUUAAACAGUGUUCUAAAAACCUGUGUUAUUAAAAAAGUUUUCAUCGCACUUCUACGAAAAAUCAAAACUACCUUUUACUAUUAUUUUUUGUGUUUCAGAUUGAUAUUUCGAGUGGAUCAUACUGAACCGAAAAGAUACUUAGAAUGGUAUCAAAAUGUGAUAAAGUAGCAUUCGGAUGAUGAAGAAAGUUUGUACAAAUUGUAAAUAUUUUUCAACUUAUAUUAUUUAAUAUUAUUUUCAUGUUGUAUCAAAUUAGUUUAACGAGUUUAUUAAACACUAUCAUUGGUGAAAUUGGCUUUUGAAGUGCCUCUAAAAACGCUUCCAUGUUCACCCAAAACAUUUUUUGUAAUAUAUUUUGUUAAUUUAUUAAUAAGAAAUAGAAAAUUUGACACAAUUUGCCAAGUGUUACUAUCUAGAAUGGAAGAUUCAAAAAUUCAGUUGUUACAAUCCUUACAGAGAAACCAACUAGCAAAUUUACACAACACUUUUCAUUAAAUAGCAAUUCAUUUUCCCGUACUAUAAUCAUUUUUUCUCCCAAUUUUUUCCUUUCAUGUAAAUAUUUCUUUUCCUGUAAAUAAGAAUAAGUUAAAUCAUUAUAUUUUUCCAGCAUAUUUUCCUUUAGACAUCUAAAUCACCUUUGUGAUUGAAAUAAGAUUUGAUUGGAAGUAUUUUUCGUUAUAAAAGAUUUCAUUUACGAUUUUUCCAAGACCUAUGUGAGGUCUAACUGAGCGCAAUGCCAAAUGUGAACCCUACACGAAUCAAUCAAAUCAUGCUUUAAACAUGGGACACAUAGUGUUCCGCAAAUUGAAAAAAAAAUAAACACUUUCAACUUAGACGUGUUAAAGGAAUUUCGGAUUUAAAAAACACUAACUCAAAAGUAUGUCCUCCAAAAAUUUAUUGGUUAAUAGAAAAUUUAGAAAAACUGAACAGAACGAUAAAACUAAAAUACUUUGACUUACAAAGUAGAACCGGCACUUUAGUGUGAGAGUUUCUCUAUUAAAUUUACUGACACAAUUCACAAUUCUGCUUCUCCCCAGCACGGAUGUUGCUUGAGACAGCACUCGUUCCAAAAAGUUCGCUGACUUGUCCGGGAAUCCAUAGUGAUCUUCGCCGUGAUCGUUUAAGCUCAGCAACUGAAAAAGAAAAGAGAAUUAAAUAAAGUACCUGCUUACUGAUGAAAACGAUACAUAAACCUACCUGAAACUUUGAUUGAUGCCGAUUUCCUUCCGUCCCUGGAACCGGUCCUUGCGAUGCGAAAAUAUGGAAACGACACAACAAAUCAACUUUAAAUAAAAUUAUUGCUCAACUUUUGUUAUCCGAGUAUGGAUAUGUUGAAGCAAAUUAAGCUGUACCAGAUUAUCCUUCGCCGAAUUUCUGGUUCUUCCGGACUUCUCCUCUCCGCAAUUUUAGCCUGAAAUAGAAAAGAGAUAGAAAAACUUAAAAUAUAAACUAAAAUUUGCCAAUAAUAAGCUUUCUGAGGAUACUUACCGCGAAAUAUGAACAGAAUAUUUUGAAGACGAUUAAUCAACAACCAGCUCCAAUGUUUACAUAAAAAAAUUCAUUCUCCUUUUUGUUCUUGACGUUUGUCGUGAGUGACCGUCAACAAAGGUCAACAAAAAACUCAGUAGCUUGACGUUGUCGUGAGUGACCGUCAGUAAAAUUACUACACUGAAACAAACGAUACUGUUCCAAUCAAUUGACGAUUGAGGUAUAGGUACUUCGUUUAAAAUGACACUAUAGUAAAGAAAUAUUGUUUUGAUCAGAUCAAAAUAGAUUAUUUCAAUUGGACUGUUACAUUCAUCUCUCUCAUAACAAAAUGAAUGAUAGUUCAUUCAUUUUGAGAAGGGACGAUGGGGUAAUGUAACCGUCUGUUACAUUUAUUUGUGUGGCUCCGCCACAAAAUCGAAUCAUCCCUGUCCUUUACGGAAAAACAACAAAUGUCACCCAAAAUAACGGCUAACUUCACCCAACCCAACUGUCAUUCCGCACAGGCACUCUCUUUCUCUGAGUGAUCCAUAGGCGUCGUGCUCAACCAGGGACGUCACGGGGAAGUGUGUGCACCCAGAGAACGACGCACCGUGUAAAUUUGCUUCCGAAUAUGUAUGUAUGUGUGUCGGUCCAUUGAAAGUAGAGUCUCGCAAAUAUCCUCACUGCAGAACAUGUUCUUUCUGUCUGUGAUCUCGUUAGAGGAAACAUGUGCGCGUCGUGUGGAGUAAAUCGUAAAUAAAAGUACAGAAAAUUACACGUAUUACAAACACGAAAAAGUAGUACGGUGCGGUUAUUAGAAAAUUAGUACGAUAAGGAAUUGUUAAAAAAAACAUAUAUAGUGUGAACUGAACUAAACAACAAACGCAACAAAGAAAAGGUCCAAGAGGGCCUUUUCUUAUUUUAUCGGCUAAUUAUCCAGCUGAAAACACACGGCAACAUCUAAAAACAACCAAGAAACCCAGACAGAAAACCCGAAACAUAACCUUGCUCAAGGUUAUCAGUAAAAACCAUCCGGUUGAAUCAGGCCCGCAACAUAACCUUGCCGUUUUGAGGUUACGGACGAAAACCAUCCGGUGGUACAAGGCUCCUCCGACUGCACAAGUCCGGAAUCACAACCAGCAAGCAUCGGGUGCUUCCGGGACGCCGGAAGACGCCUGUUGUGAAUCCGGGUUUGCCGUUUGGAACAACAACAUCUAUGUGUCCGUCUGAUUGUCCACCGAUCGUGCGGUCUGUAGCAGCUCCAGUUAAGUCCCGUGUCAAACAAUAACAUU